CUGACACAAACAGCCAGAUACACACUUACACACACACAGUCAGAUACAGACACACACACACACAUACACACACACACAGUCAGACACAAACACAGCCAGAUACAAUCACAGCCAGCCAGAUACACACACACACACACACACAGUGAGAUAUACACACACACAGUCGGAUACACACACACACAGUCAGAUACACACACAGUCAG